UAGCUGAUAUUGUUACGUCUCAGCUCCUAUUUUCCCCCCUUUUUCUUAUUUCUUUUUUUUAUCUUUAUCGAGCGGUACAUCUUGCAAUCUAAACUUCCGGUUCUCCCCUCCCUCGUUCGAUAUGGACUAGGAUUAUAUUAUGUUGACAUUCGUAACGGCGACCUGUAAUUGUGACUAGCAUUUUAUUUUAAGUUAAUGCGUUAGCUUUAAUGCCUUUUACUAUUCCUUUAUAUAUGGAAAACCUUGUGUUAAAUUUCCGACACCGGCGUGUGUUAAUUUGAUAUAUCGAUUUUGGAUGACACAUUUUAUGUGCCAGACUCAACGUAUGAAUUGUGUUACUCUUUCCUGUUUUCUUUCUUUUCGGCACUUCUGUUCUAUGUUAAUUUGACACGUGGUUUUCUACAGCGCGCGUAUGCUUUAUCAUUGCUUACGUAGUCUCAAGAAUAACAGCCCGGUUGCGCGAGGGCUUGGCUAUUAUUUCUUACUAUUAUUCCAAAUUAUUUUUAUCAUAGCGGACAGACUAUGCAGCUUCCCCAUCUCUUACUUCUUAACAAUAAAAAUAAGCACUAAGUGUGGGAAAGUUGUGUUAUAACCGUUAACAACUUUUCUAAUCGUUAUCUUUAUAACUCUGCAGUAUAAGCAUUGUGAUUCUACGAAUCUCAUAACUGUUUUGCGUCAGCAGCACGGCCCAGCUUCGCUCUCAGGAAUCUCGGAUGGAAGACAAGGCAUAUCGCGUCGUAAUUCUCCACCUUGUUUCUUUCAUCCGACAUCUCGCUAAACUUUACAUAUUAUCCGGUUAUUAGAUCAAAGUGUUAGAAAUGUAGUGUAAAGAAGUAAAAACCUAUCAUUAUAAAAUUGUACUACCCCCGUUUGCCACUCUCCGUUAAAAUUAUUAAACUUGUGUCGAAUUCGCCAGGAACGCUUCCUUGGCCUAUCAUUGUAAAGCGUCGUACCUAAAUUCGCGAUUGCCGCAUUAUUGUCCACCCGCGGUUGACUAUAAAAUUGUAAACGUUUUCAUUCUAAGAUAACCGAACUGUUUAGGCGACACUUUGGCGGGGUUCUUAUCGUUGUUCCAUCCGGAGAUCGAGUAACUCGCGUCUUGCUCCGACAUAAAGAAGAAGGACUCCUCGGCCCGUCGGCGAACCGCCCGCUUCUUCACUCUCGUUGAGGCCGUCACACGUUUCGGACGCGUGCUCACAAGUCUCUCCUUAACUAUUGUACUUAGAGAAUCUUCAAGUUCCACCAUCUCGUGACGGUUUCUCAUAUUCUCGUAUAUCUCCUUUUUUUUCUUUCUGGUUCUUUCUCAUUACAAUUGUUGCAACCAAGUGUAUUCGUAACUUCAACCAAUUUCACGAUCUUCUUAAUUAAUUCGUACAAGAAAAGACAGACGCGACUUUCGGAAGGGAGUGUGACAUCGCGAGCGUUCGACGUUCCGUCAUCUAAGCUGGGAGGAACGCAGGCACGUACGAGGGCUCCUUCUCCCGUUCCAUUCCGACGCCUAAACAGUGACGUUCCAGCCAUCCGAUCACAAUUCAGAAUCUUUCUCUGAAAAUGAGAAAGCAUCUGUCGCGGAUUUCAUGGAGUCGUCUUCUUCAGUGUCACUUUCUAAC